rnacentral:rRNA from 1 species
UCAAGAAACUUCCACAAUGGGCGAAAGCCUGAUGGAGUGACGUCGCGUGAUGGACGAAGUGCUUCGGCACGUAAACAUCUUUUAUGUGGGAUGAAAUUAUUGACAGUACCACAUGAAUAAGGGGCUCCUAACUCUGUGCCAGCAGGAGCGGUAAUACAGAGGCCCCAAGCGUUAUCCGGAAUCACUGGGCGUAAAGGGUGUCGAGGCGGUUGUAUUAGUCGUUCGUAAAAUCUACGAGCUUAACUUGUAGGCGGCGAACGAAACGGUACGACUUGAGGUUUGGAGAGGUGCGUGGAACUCACGGUGUAGGGGUGAAAUCCGUUGAUAUCGUGGGGAACACCAAAGGCGAAGGCAGCGCACUGGCCAAAAUCUGACGCUCACACACGAAAGCUAGGGUAGCGAAGAGGAUUAGAUACCCAUGUAGUCCCUGAGCGGGCUGGCAAGGCGCAU